rnacentral:tRNA from 2 species
GCCGAGGUGGCGGAAUUGGUAGACGCGCUGGUUUCAGGUAUCAGUGGUGGCAACACCGUGAAGGUUCAAGUCCUUUUCUCGGCACCA